AUGUCUCUUGCAUGCGAAGCCAUUUUCGAAAAACGACUUUUCCUCUCUCUCUGCUCGGCCGCUUUGUGAAAUAUCGGUAAAAUAUCGGAGUCCAGAAAAAAAAUGGUGUCGGAUACGGACCUUGUGACCUAUCGCUGGCAGCUUGAGGAAGAAUUCGGUGUCGAUUUAUCGGUUCGGAAACCGUUCGUUAGGGACGAAAUCGGGAGUUUUAUGAAAACCCUCACGGCAGAGCCCGAUUAAGGAGGAAGAGAAGGGCUUGGUGUGGAAUCCGAGAAUUUUAAGCAAGAGCUGGAGGAAACGACGUCGUAGAAGAGGAGAGUGAAGGGUUGUGAAGAAGAGUUGGGCCUAUAUAUGGGAGAAUGAUUUGCAGGAUCCAAAGAACAAGCGAAAUAUAAGAAGCGAUGAAUCAUUCGAUUGUUUUCAUUUGCCUUUCAGUAUCGUCAUCCUGAGGAUGCAAGGUCUAAGUGUUUGUGGGAAAUAGUAACAUGAUAAAAUUGAUCAACAAUCAGAAGACUUGAAGCAAAGGGUAAAAGGUGAAGAGAGUGGCGGUUCUGUAUAAGGAGAUGUCAGCAUUGGAGAGGAACAAGAGGAAAAAGAGAAUGAAGAAGAAAAAGAAGAGAGUAGUGGAGAGGAAGCAAAAAAAGAGGGCCUGCUAAGGAGGAUAAGAAUCUCAUGGAAAGGGGAUGUGGCUUUAAUAAACUAUGUAGACUUUCUCUGCAACUUCAAACAUUCACUGGAGUUCCCAACUUGGCCAGACCUGAAGUUGUCAAACAAAUUUUGGCCUAUAUUCAGGGGAAGAAUUUGCAAGAUCCAAAGAGUAGGCAAAAUAUAAUAUGUGACAAAUCACUGCAGGCCCUUUUUCGUGUUCAUUCUAUCAACAUGUUUCAAAUGAACAAAGCCUUGUCCAAACAUUUAUGGCCAUUAAAUAAGGAAGAUGGAUCCAUCUAAUAAGAGGAGAAUAUAUAUGUGAGGAUAAAGCAAAAAGAACAUUUUGAGGUUGACUCCUUCAUUGGCUUCACUAUCUCAAAGCUUCUCUGACCUCUCAUUUCUACAAUACAGAAUAGCAAGUUGCUUAUAUGUAUAAAAUGUGAGCCCGAGUUUGAUAUUACCUUUCCACAUCGGGAAUGCUACGGUGCUUCUCAAUAUGUAGGGAACUAAAAGAGCUUUCCUAUACAUUAUUUUAAUAUAAAUAUUUUUCUUUCCUCUCUUCUCUUUCA